rnacentral:misc_RNA from 1 species
GUGUUUGUUAGACUGCACAGUGCAGUAUACACAUUCGUUGACGUGGUAGAUGUCACAGUUCACGGUGUAAAAAAGGAGGUAGGGCAGUAACCAUCGCUGGCCACCCGCACCCAGAUUCAAUAAUGAUCCUUCCGCAGGUUCACCUACGGAAA